rnacentral:rRNA from 1 species
UGGCGGACGGGUGAGUAACGCGUGGAUAACCUGCCGUAUACAGGGGGAUAACACUUAGAAAUAGGUGCUAAUACCGCAUAAGCGCACGGUUCCGCAUGGAACAGUGUGAAAAACUCCGGUGGUAUACGAUGGAUCCGCGUCUGAUUAGCCAGUUGGUGGGGUAACGGCCCACCAAAGCGACGAUCAGUAGCCGGCCUGAGAGGGUGAACGGCCACAUUGGGACUGAGACACGGCCCAAACUCCUACGGAAGGCAGCAG